rnacentral:lncRNA from 1 species
CUUUAAAAGACGAAUCCUGCACCAUGAAAUCUUGCCUCUCAUUUAGCCAUGUGUCAAGCAGAGAAAACAGCCACGUUUGUAGCAUACUACCAGGCCACGUUUCCUUGCAAGUUGCAAUAGCUUCUAAACUGGUUAUUGUUCCAGCAAACAUAUUCUAGAACUCUCCAAAUACAAGCUUCCAAACUGGCUAUUGUUCCAGUAAACAUAUUCUAGAAUUCUCAAAAUACAAUACAUUCCAGAUAACUCUCCCAUCUUCCAACAAGUAUAUAUAUCCUAUUACGGAGUACUCUUUAAUGCCAACAACUUGAGUCAUUCAUCCCUCAAACUCUUCCCGGUCAUCAACCUUCGCAAUUACAUUUCACCGGUUUAACGUCUUAACCGGUGAACGCCAACACCACCAACUGUCAACAUCAAUAACAAACUGAGGUUCCCCAUCUGGGAUCACAAGGUAAUAACCACUUUUCUCCUUACUUUUAUAUAGCAGCAACCCUUCCAUAUCCUGAACUACUCAUGUCUAGAAGAAAACGAGACACACUAGAAGAAGAACGAGAUCUGCUGCCACCCCAAUCUCCUAUAUGGAAAAAAUAAAAUAAAAAAAAAUAUAGUAAUAAUAAUAAGGUAAAAAAAUAUAGUAAUAAUAAUAAGGUAAAAUACACACUAAUUUUAGUUAUAAGCACCAAAACCACUUCAUCUGUUAGCACCUUCUGAUAAUUUAUUAGAUCAUAUAUAUAUAUAUAUAUAUAUAUAUAUAUAUAUAUAUAUAUAUAUAUAUAUAUAUUACUAACUCUUCUUUUCCUGUUAUACAACCACAAAUACAAUUUUCAUUAUAGAAAUGAAAAGGAGAGCAUCUCAGUCUGAUGAACUUUAUAGUAGUAACUACAAAAAACAGAAACAAACAUAUUCGGUUGACAAAAACAAGAUACGCGCGAAAGUAGAAAAGCGAAAACGAGAGCUAGAAGAAAAGAAGAACAGCCAGAUUAUACAAGAAGCUAUAAAACGAAGAUGCAUACAAAUAGAUAAGAAACAUACAUACUUAUCUUUACCUUAUGGCAUGAUAUACUUCUCUCCCGAGCAAAUUCAAUACCUAAAAGAAACAUAUGAGCAAAGAUCAUACUUGGGAAUACCAAAGUACAGUUGCCAAUAUUGCAAUGCAAUAUUUUGGUAUGAGGAACGCAAUAAAUAUCAUAGUGAACGAGCUAACAGACAAGUAUUAUAUUCGAACUGCUGUAAAUAUGGCAAAAUCAAAAUACCUCCAUUCAAAGAACCACCACAAUUUCUUAAAAGGUUAUUGGAUUACAAAGGAGAUGGAUACUCGAGACAUUUUAUACAAAAGAUACGACAAUAUAAUAGUAUGUUUGCUUUCACAUCUAUGGGAGGCAAUAUCGACAAAAAUAUUAAUAAGGGAGAAGGACCCUAUGUAUUUCGAAUAAAUGGUCAAAUACAUCAUCGCAUAGGAUCAUUGUUGCCCGAUACAAAUAAUAAAAUACCUAAGUUUGCUGAGCUAUAUAUAUUUGAUACAAAAAAUGAGAUCGAAAAUAGAAUACGGGCCUUAAGCAAUGAAGAUCCAGAUGGAACAGAUCUUAACCCAGCUAUAAUUGAAGGAUUACAGAAAAUGCUUGAUGAAUAUAAUCCUUUAGUGAAAGUAUUUCGUCAUGCACGUGAUCUACUUGAAGAACAUAAAGGUAUUGAUAUUAGUAUCCGAAUCAUUGGAGCCAAUAAAGGCGAUCAAAUACAAUACCAAAUGCCACACCCAGAAGAACUAGCUAUGUUAAUUAUAGGUGAUCUAACACUGGAAAACUAUAAAAGGGAUAUAAUUGUUAGUACCCGAACCAAGACACUACAACAUAUAUCUAUAUUUCAUCCAGCAUAUAUGCCAUUGCAAUAUCCGUUAUUAUUCCCUUAUGGAGAAAGAGGAUUUCAACUAGGCAUAGAAUAUCAUGAAGAAACAAGAAAUCGAAGAAAUCAAACAACUCAGCAAAAAAGAAACACAGUAACAAUGCAUGAAUUUUUUAAAUACCAUAUGCACUACAGACAUAACCAACCAAACCCAUAUUUAUGCUAUGGACGAUUAUCAAAACAAGCAAUCGUAGAUGCAAGAGCAAUGGAAGAUGAGGAUAGACUUCAAUUCAUUGCAAGAAAUCAAAAAAAAUUAAGAGCUGAAUGUAUACAGGGAAUAUUUGAUGCAAUAGAGAAAGGAAUAGAUGAAGGAAAUCAAAUAGGAAAAAGAGUUCUAUUACCCUCUAGCCACGUUGGUUGUAGACGUUAUGUAAUACAAAAUUAUCAUGAUGGUAUAGCUAUAUGUCGUGUAUAUGGACCACCGGAUCUUUUCAUAACAUUCACAUGUAAUCCCAAAUGGCCAGAAAUAUCGCUAGCAAUAUUAAAUGGCGAGCAACCUAAUGAUAGACCUGAUAUUAUAGUGCGUGUAUUUCAUAUCAAACUACAACAAUUAUUAAAUGACAUACGCUCAGGCACGCUCUUUGGUCCUAUAUUAGCAAUACUAUAUUCUAUAGAAUUCCAGAAAAGGGGUCUACCGCAUGUUCAUAUCUUAGUUUGGGUGGAAAAAAAUGGAAACGAAGUGACAAUUGAGAAUAUUGACACCUGGAUAACUGCUGAAAUACCUGACCCCAGAAAAGAUCCUUUGGGCUAUAUACUUGUAUCUGAACACAUGAUGCAUGGACCAUGCGGAGAAAAAAACUGGGAUUGCCCAUGUAUGAAAAAGGGGAGAUGCUCUAAAUUCUAUCCUAAAGAAUUUCAAGAAGAGACUACUUUCACAGAUACAGGCUUCACAGUGUAUCGAAGACGAGACACUGGUAUUUUCAUCCGAAGAGAUGCCCACAACCUAGAUAAUACAUGGGUAGUUCCACACAAUCUAGAAUUACUCAAGAAAUACCAGGCACACAUAAAUGUAGAAUAUGUAAACAAGAGUAAAGUUUUAAAAUACUUGUGCAAAUAUGUAAACAAAGGUCCUGACCAAGCAAAAAUAAUCUUUGAACGUAUCAAAAAAGGUCAAGAUGCACCCAUUAAUCAACAAACCAAAGAUAUUGAUGAGAUCAAAGAAUAUCUGGAUUGUAGAUAUAUAUGUGAACAAGAUGCACUCUGGAGAUUACUUGGUUAUGAGAUACACUAUCAUUGGCCACCAGUUGAAAGAUUACCUGUGCAUCUACCACUGAUGAAUAUAGUUAAAUAUAAAAAGGAUACUAAACUAAGAGAUGUAAUUAAUGAUCCCAAAAAUAAAAAAACAAUGCUCACUGAAUGGUUUAGUGCUAACAAAGAAUAUAAUAGUGCAAAAGAUCUUACAUAUUGUGAAUUUCCACUUAAAUGGAGAUGGGAUGAAACAAACAAGAAAUGGAUCAGACGUCAGCACGGGUUUAAAAUAGGUAGAUUAUACUAUGUGAACCCAACAGAAGGAGAACGAUUCUAUCUACGCAUGCUCUUAAUGAUAGUAAAAGGUGCAACGUGCUAUACUGACCUACGAACACAUAAUGGUAUUAUUUAUGAAACCUUUAAAGAAGCUUGUGCAACACGAGGAUUACUAACCGAUGACAAUGAGUGGUACAAGACAUUUGAAGAAGCUACAAACUGGGCAACAGCUUCUCAACUACGAAGCUUAUUUACAACAAUGCUUACAUUCUGUGAAAUAAAGAAUGAAAGAGAAUUCUUCAACAAAAAUUGGCAAAAAAUGGUUGAUGAUAUUGAGCAACAAGUAAAACACAAAUAUUAUCCAAUUGAAUAUAUCCCAACUCAAACUGAACUACAAGAUUUAUUACUAGAAGAAUUAGAAGAAAUUUUUUCAAGGAACGGACAACAGAUAAAUAAUUAUAAUCUCCCACGUAGAUCAAUAUAUCAUGAAUUUGAUACUAACAAUCGAUUAAUUCAAGAGGAAAUGAACUAUGAUGUCCAAUAUCUAGAAAAAGAGGCAAAUAAAUUAUACACACAGCUAAAUAAAAGUCAAAAAGAAGCUUUUCAUCAAAUAGUUGAAAGUGUACUAAAUAACAAAUCAAGGUUUUACUUCAUCUCCGGCCAUGGAGGAACUGGAAAAACUUUUCUGUGGAAUACAAUUGUAUCAUAUCUCAGAGCACAAAAGAAAAUAGUACUAGCAGUUGCAUCAUCAGGGGUAGCUUCUUUGUUACUCCCAAAUGGUCGUACAGCCCAUUCAAGAUUCCGAAUACCCAUUGAAACAGAUGACAUAUCCAUAUGUGAUAUAAAACAGGGAACAAAACUUGCUAAGCUAAUUAUAGAAACUUCUCUCAUAAUAUGGGAUGAAGCUCUAAUGACAAACAAACAAUGCUUUGAAGCAUUUGAUAGAUCACUAAGAGAUAUAAUGUCUGAAAUCAAUAAAGAAGCUAGUGACAUACCAUUUGGAGGGAAGGUCGUUGUUCUAGGUGGAGAUCCUAGACAAAUACUUCCUGUUAUAGAAAAUGGCUCAAAGUCACAGAUCAUAAAUGCUUCAAUUAUCAAAUCCUACCUAUGGAAAAACGUAAACACUGUAUAUCUAAAUGAAAACAUGCGACUAAAACAGAUAAAUCAAAGUAGUGCUGAAUACAAGGAGUUAGAGUCUUUCAAUGAUUGGAUGCUAAGCAUUGGCGAUGGAACAAUCAAAGGGACAUCUGAUACUGAUAAGGCCUCUGAUUCUGUGCUAAUAGAAAUAUCAGAAGAACUACUGGUACAAACUACAGGGGAUAAAAUAAAAGCAUUGGUAGAGUCCACUUAUCCAGAUUUUCAAGAAAAUUUUCAACGAUUAGACUAUGUGAAAGAAAGAGCUAUACUAGCAACUACCAAUGAAAUUGUUGAUGAAAUAAAUAAUUACAUGAUAAAAUUACUCCCUGGCUUAGAAAAAGAAUAUUUCAGUGCAGAUAGUAUAUCAAAAUGCUCAGAUACAUAUAACGAUGCCAAUAUUUUAUAUCCCGUUGAAUAUCUUAAUACACUCAAUCCUAAUAACUUUCCACCUCAUAAACUACUACUAAAAAUUGGUGUCCCAAUAAUGCUAUUGAGAAAUCUCAACCAGAGCUUAGGCCUAUGCAAUGGGACGAGACUAAUAGUGACUAAUCUAGGGGAUAAUAUUAUUGAAGCUGUUAUAAUUACAGGAACACAUGCUGGAUAUAAAACAUAUAUACCGAGAAUAAAUCUAACGACAAGAUCAUCCCAUUGGCCCUUUACGUUAAAUCGCCGUCAAUUUCCAAUUAAAGUUUGUUACUCUAUGACUAUUAACAAGAGCCAAGGACAAACACUAUCAAAAGUAGGAAUAUAUUUAAAAAAACAAGUAUUUACGCAUGGACAGCUAUAUGUUGCAGUGUCACGUGUUACAAGCAAGAAAGGUCUAAAAAUAUUAAUAGAAAAUGAGAAUGGAUCUUGUGGAUCAAAAACAAAGAAUAUAGUAUACAAAGAAGUACUCCAAUCAAUAUAGUUUACAUAACUGAAAAAUAUUCUGGAUAAUUACAUUUAAUAGAGAUAACUCCUGUAGUCUCAUAUGAUCUAAUCAAAGCGACACAACACACCCGUUUACAAUACAAUUACAUUAUCUUUGUUCAAGAAUAUCAAUAACAUAAAUUUUUAAAUUUGCAGGUACAUUGGUAAACUACAGACAUGGAGGUUUAGCUUAAAUGGAAGUUUUAUGUUUCACAUGAGGUGUCAUCUUCAGCCAAGUCACUACGGAAAUUCAUUCAUGGUUGCUUUUUAUGACAUGAAUUUGUUCCAUACAAAAGAAAACUGGGCAAUUACUAUAUAGUUUCCUGGCUCUUGAGCUUGCCUCCCAUCAGUUCUCAAGAAUGCCGUAUACAAACUACAAAGAAGAAACAAGAGUCGUACCAGACAGUGGAGGUGAACAGUGCCUUUGCAGUUUAUCUGUGCAACAAAGCAAUGACCAAUGCCCUGUCAAAUAUAAAAUAUUGGCUGCCAAGGUUGGUAAUCGCCAAAGAAUGAAGCUGUGACAUACCACAAUGGCCUACCAUGGUGUUCACGACAUUAGAUCGAACACCUAACUGACAUGACCCACGAGUGGGAGAGGCGUCACGCACCUGGAACUGUCCGCAUCCCGCGUCGGGGAACCCGUCACGCCCGCACCGGCGAGCAGCUGCGCUGUGUCCAACUCACUAUCCCGCCAUGGCCGGGGGUCAGUGCGUGCCACCUCGCCCCACUGCGCCUUGCCGUGGCUGCCUCGCCGGACGGCCGCGGCCAGUACUAACAGGGGGCUAGAAGCUAGCGCCUAUGGGCCUGCCCUGCCGCCGCUUGCUGAGAAUAGGGCACCA